GCCUUGUUGAGCAGUUUUCAGUAGACUUUCGCUUUGCACAAACAUCUUCUCUGAGUGAUCCAACACCUCCUGCAGCUCUGGCAAACUCUGGGUCAGCCCGGAGUCCCUCGAAGCUGGAGCUGAGGUCAGAGAAGCCCAGGACAGCCACGAAGCUGUGGGUCCUCGCGCCUAACAACCACGGUUAAGGAUUCUGAUACGUUACCAAACCGCCACCCAGAAAGGAAUUGCAAUGUGGACUUCUACAAGAAAUCAGAAACAGUAAAGAACAGCCUUGCUGCCUGCAGGGGUGACUGAGGCCCUGAAGUCCAGAGCUUUGCUGAGUCGUCACUUGGGAGAGUAAAUCUCCAAUGGUCUGCCCGUGCAGUGAGCAUUGUAACCUGUAUCACUGUAAAUCUUAUUUGCAAGGCUGAUGGAUCAAUCAAUUGAAAGCUGAGCCCAGCAGGUGAGGGAAAACUCCCGUCUUUGUCAUGGCGCGUGUCCACUCCUCAAGGCCAUGGAGAUUCGGACCGAAGGGUUCCAGAGAUCGCGUGGUGAGGCCGUGUGGAGUUUGCCAUGCAGGGGAGCUCCCAGCACCAAGCAUCUGCCAGCAAAGAGCCCAACUUGAACCUUGGAAAACUGUGUCCUCUCUUCCCAAGUGUUCCACUGAGCCACUGACUUCUCCAGGAGUCAUUCAGAUUCUAAUCGUAACCCUUGAAGCAGCCAUUUCUUUCUGUGCUGUGGAAGCUGAACUUGCUAAAGCAGCUAGGAUUGGUCCCCUGGUGGUCUUGGCCAGUUCUUGGACAACGAGGCUAUAGCCAGGUCCUUAGGCAGAGUCUUGAGCCAGUACAGGUCCAUGCUUCCCAGCGGGGAUGGAUUUCUUUUCGGACAUACCUCGUAGAAACUGGUUUGUCUGGAGCUCCAUCACUUGUGCUAUACUGCCUGGGCAGAGGGAAAGACCACAGGGGAGGCGGUGGCUGUGCCGGGCAGGGAGACCUCACAGCUAUUGUGCUCCAUGGAACAGCCCAGGCCCUGCCAUCCUGCAUGGAUGUUUUGUUUAGUCAAGGCUGGCUGACCCCAAAGCGGGGAAUUAUUAUUGUAACAUGUGUUUGGUGGAAGGGCGAUGUUGGGAGACGGUGGGAGGGGAGAGGCGUCUUAUUGCUGUCUGGGUGGGUUGGAGCUGGUAGGAGCUUCUACCACUCUCCUCCGCUCUAUCUCCUUGUCCCGGGAUCCAUGCUGUUCCUCUAAGAGAAGCAAUGAAAGGUCAACCUCGGGCUGCUGAAAACACGCCCCCUUGAGGUUAUCCGACGGCCUAAGCUGUAUCCUAUGGGAUGGGAAAGGUGUGCUGUUGUCGGUGGGAUCAUCUGAAGGCUGACCCUUCAAGCGCCAGGGUAGCUAGCUGUGCAGCUAGCUCAGAGUUAAAACGAGCUCGGGAGAAGACAUAGGAAGCCAUUGUCUUGCUGGAUUUUCUGGCCCAUUAAGAAGUCUGGACUGUAACCUUGAAGACAGGAUGUGACCCCCACAUAAGUUCCUCACCUUGAUGACCCACAUGAAUCCAUCACAGUGCUCUCCAGCGCUCAUCUCUCACUGGGACUGAGAAUGAAAGAGUUGGUCUUUGAAUGUGUUCUCACCAUAGCCACAUAGGAAGAAUGUCGCAUCUGUUUGCCACCUCUCUGGCAGGUCCCCUGAAUCUGUAGGUCAGAGGGCAGGAAUCCACUUGCCAAUGCAUGUUAAGUACCAGGCUUUGUGCGUCUACACGCGGAGAAUGCCAGGCUGCCCCACAAGGUACCCUGCUGGUUGUAAAAGAUGGAAUUUGCUGUUGAAGUCACAGUUUGCAAUCUUGAUGUUCACGCCAGCCUCUGAGGGUUUGUCUGCCUUGAAGGCUGUCAGGACAGUGCACUUCUGGUGGCACAUUAGACACUACUGUUGGAAUUUGCUUCAGGCCUCUGUUUUCUCUCCCACUGCCACGAGGCACCGGGUACCCAAAUACCUCUCUUCCACUAGCAGGUUUCAUAACAAGGCUGAUUUCCCAGUGUCGAUCAUUUGGAUCACUCUUGUUGGGAUUGUUGGGGUCUUCAUGCAUCCUUAGCUCACAGGAUGUUCUCUGGAUGGUAGAGGCGUGCUUUGCAUUGAGGAUGCAAUGGGUGGACAUUGAGAAUGCUGGGUUAUCUUGGCUGAGGAUCUUCAGCAGCUGCCCGUGUGGGGUCUCUCUUUCUCUCAAGCAGAUAUGGCUGAGGGGCCCUGCAGCUUGUCCAGACCUGCCGGUGGGCCUCAGAGUCAAGGGCACAGGGUGGGGCGGGGAGGUGGGGAGAGUGAGCUUAAGUUUGAGAAAGGUGUGCACUUGUUUCAAGUCACCUCAGGUGAGAGCCGAAGGUUCACCUGGUGAAGUUAUCUUUAUAGUAGAAAUAAACGCACUGCUGGACCAAAAAAAAUUUUUUUAAAUAAUUUUCAAAGGAAAAAGUGAUUAAAAGAAAAGAAGUGAAAAGUAUAAAAGAUUAAAACUAGGGAGAGCUAAGAGGAGCAACAAACCAGACCCAGCCAGGACUCCCAGGGGAUUGUAAAAUGUUUGCGAUUGUAAAACGACAGUUUCAUAUAAAGUCACUUGCAUGGCAAGGCUGGGGUAGUCAGUAAUAGAAUUCUCAACUGGCCCCUUUGCUUAAAGGAAACUAUACAAGGUCCCAAAGGGCUUUUGUUUUUAUGUGGGUCCUGAUUACCAAUACUUACCUUAUUAGAAAUGACAACCUAUAAGAUUCUUCAAUGGCCUUCUCAUCUCUAGUUUGCACAGGGCUCGCAGUGUUUGGCUUUUUUUCCAGAGCUUUAUCAGAGCAACUUCGCUUAAGACUCUAAACUCGGGUUUCAGAGUGAUGCCGCCAUUUAACGGGCAUUGGGACAAAACGCCAGAGUAAGCCGUCACUUUAGUGUCAGCCUAAGCACGGAGAGGGUGGUCUCAGCCUGCUCAGUUGCUCUGGAGUAGAUUCUUGCUUCUGGAGAACUCUAGAACCUCCUGAGUCAGUCUCAGCAUCUUCAAUUAAAGCUAAGUGCAAAGGAUGGAAAUCUUGUUCCCUCAGCCGCCCAGGAGGCUACAAGACCUUGUGUCAUUAAAAAAAAAAAAAAAAAAAAAAAAAAAAAAAAAAGUCAGUAGAAAUGGUAUCUGUAAAUUGAGAAAAAAACAAAAUUUUUUUUGACUCAA
rnacentral:lncRNA from 1 species